GCUAACUUGGCCGAGUGGUUAAGGCGCCAGACUUAAGCGAUUCCCCACUUGCAGGAUAUCUAGAGUUCUGGUAACGUAAGUUGCGUGAGUUCGAACCUCACAGUUAGCA
rnacentral:tRNA from 1 species